AACCUUUACACUGCACGACAGUGCGAUAGGGGGAUACCGAGUGCGAGGGCAUAGAGCCCUCGCUUUUCUGAACCUUAAGGUGGUUCAGGAACAAGGGCUGGGCAAGACCGGUGCCAGCCGCCGCGGUAACACCGGCAGCCCAAGUGAUGGCCGAUUUUAUUGGGCCUAAAGCGUCCGUAGCUGGCCGCGCAAGUUCGUCGGGAAAUCCACGCGCUUAACGUGUGGGCGUCCGGCGAAAACUGUGCGGCUUGGGACCGGAAGAUCUGAGGGGUACGUCUGGGGUAGGAGUGAAAUCCCGUAAUCCUGGACGGACCACCGAUGGCGAAAGCACCUCAGAAGGACGGAUCCGACAGUGAGGGACGAAAGCUAGGGUCUCGAACCGGAUUAGAUACCCGGGUAGUCCUAGCCGUAAACGAUGCUCGCUAGGUGUGGCACAGGCUACGAGCCUGUGCUGUGCCGUAGGGAAGCCGUGAAGCGAGCCGCCUGGGAAGUACGUCUGCAAGGAUGAAACUUAA
rnacentral:rRNA from 1 species